rnacentral:rRNA from 1 species
GACGAACGCUGGCGGCGUGCUUAACACAUGCAAGUCGAACGGUAAGGCCCUUCGGGGUACACGAGUGGCGAACGGGUGAGUAACACGUGGGUGAUCUGCCCUGCACUUCGGGAUAAGCCUGGGAAACUGGGUCUAAUACCGGAUAGGACUCCGGACUGCAUGGUCUGGGGUGGAAAGCUUUUGCGGGGUGGGAUGGGCCCGCGGCCUAUCAGCUUGUUGGUGGGGUGAUGGCCUACCAAGGCGACGACGGGUAGUCGGCCUGAGAGGGCGACCGGCCACCCAGGGACUGAGGUACGGCCCAGGCUCCGACGGGAGGCAGCAGUGGGGAAUAUUGCACAAUGGGCGCAAGCCUGAUGCAGCGACGCCGCGUGAGGGAUGACGGCCUUCGGGUUGUAAACCUCUUUCAGCAUCGACGAAGCGAAAGUGACGGUAGGUGCAGAAGAAGGACCGGCCAACUACGUGCCAGCCGCCGCAGUAA